rnacentral:rRNA from 1 species
UGGGGAAUCUUGCACAAUGGGGGCAACCCUGAUGCAGCGACGCCGCGUGAGCGAUGAAGCCCUUCGGGGCGUAAAGCCCUUUCGACCGGAACGAUAAUGACGGUACCGGGAGAAGAAGCUGCGGCUAACUACGUGCCAGCAGCCGCGGUAAUACGUAGGCAGCAAGCGUUGUUCGGAGUUACUGGGCGUAAAGAGUGCGUAGGCGGUUUUCUAAGUUCGGUGUGAAAUCUCCCGGCUUAACUGGGAGGGUGCGCCGAAGACUGGGAAGCUGGAGUGUGGGAAAGGCAGGCGGAAUUCCUGGUGUAGCGGUGAAAUGCGUAGAUAUCAGGAGGAACACCGGCGGUGUAGACGGCUUGCUAGACCAUAACUGACGCUGAGGCACGAAAGCGUGGGUAGCAAACA